ACAUGAAAAUUGGAACCCCAGUUUCAUGCAAUGAAUCACUAGUCGAGAAGCGAUUUUUCACAUCAUACCAAAUCGGAAGGACCAAUGAAGACAUUCACACAGAUAAGCCAUAACUACCUAGCAAACAUUUGACAUUUCCACCAUAUGAAA